CCUACGGGAGGCAGCAGUAGGGAAUAUUGCUCAAUGGGGGAAACCCUGAAGCAGCAACGCCGCGUGGAGGAUGAAGGUUUUCUGAUUGUAAACUCCUUUUGUUAGAGGAGUUAAUGACGGUAUCUGACGAAUAUUCCCCGGCUACCUCCGUUACAGCAGCCGCGGUCAUACGGCGGGUGCAAGCGUUACUCGGAAUCACUGGGCGUAAAGCGCGCGUAGGCGGGAUAGUAAGUCAGAGGUGAAAUCUUAUGGCUCAACCAUAGAACUGCAUUUGAAACUGUUAUACUAGAGUAUGGGCGAGGUAGGUGGAAUGCUUGGUGUAGGGGUAAAAUCCGUAGAGAUCAAGAGGAAUACUGAUUGCGAAGGCGACCUGCUAGAACAUAACUGACGCUGAUGCGCGAAAGCGUGGGGAGCAAACAGGAUUAGAUACCCUGGUAGUC
rnacentral:rRNA from 1 species